rnacentral:lncRNA from 1 species
CAAACAUGCAUGGGUAUCUUAGAAUAAAGAAGAGAUGAUUUCACUCUAAGGAAUUUAGCUUCUGAUUAUAAUAUGAAAUUUCUUUAAAAUCAUAUGAGUAUCUCUUAAAAGCAGUACAUCAAGAUCUGUCCUUUGGCCCUCACCAGGGAAGAAAUGACCUGUCAUUUCAGUCUUUAAUAGGAAAAUAUAUACCUAGCCUGAAGUUUGUGAAAAGUGUUUUAUUAGUGGGGAAGAGUGAUGGCUUAUUAUAAUUAAUUCUUUCCUCAAGGCCAUACCUCUAAAAAUAAGAGACAAAGACUAUUAAGGGGAAUGUAGUUACAAUCAGAGGAGGAUAUGCAUAUUUGGUAGCACCUCUUUACUUAACAUACCUGCUUCUUUCACAUUUCCUGACUUCUCCACUAGUCAAAGCAGAGGGCUCAUUGUUUGCAGGAUCCCAAUGAAGAAUUCAUUAGCAUACCAUCAUUUCAUGACCUGGAAUAAGGCUUGUGGCAGACUAUUUUUUAAAAAAAUAUAAUGCAAUCCAUUUGGAAGAAACAGGAUUGCCAUUUGAAACAAAUGAACAACAAGUGAUUGAGUCAUUUGAGAAGACUUCCUGGAGAAAGCAGUACUUCAGUUGUGCCCUGAUAGAUGAAGGCAAUAUUGAAUAGGUGGAGGGACAGGAGAAGCAUUGGUCUUGGGGACUUUUUUCAUUAUUAAUAUACCAACACAAAGAGCAGAACAGAAGCAUCCCUACUAUAUUGCAAUUGUUGUAA